CCUCGGCCGCUGCGGGCCCGGCUCCGGGGGUUCAUUUUUAAUGAAGAAGCCCUGCUCCCCUCGCGCUCCCUCGCGCUCCCCUCCCGCCUCCUUCCUCCUCCCCGGGGUCUGCAGGGGGAGUGGCCCCUCCUGGCUGUGACCGCCUCUCUCCCCGGUUCUGGGUCUCUGUCUCUGUGUCUCCCCCUCUGCCAAGGUUCCGAUGGCUUCUUUCUUUCUCCUCUCUCGGAGCUCAAAGGGACUGUCUUUUACCAGCACACACACACACACACACACACACACACACACACCCCUCUCCCCUGCAGCCUUGGUAAGGAGCCCAAUAAAAUCCUCAGCACCCCCCCCCCCAAUGCCCCAGAAGCCUUUGUCACUGGCCUGGGAGACCCCCCUCCUUCCUCUGCAAGCCAGAAGCCACAGGGGUCCACAGAGGGUGCAGCCCUGCAGCUCCCCCCCACACACUGGCCUUUCCCCUGAGCCCACUAUGUGCCCAGCCCUGCCUUCCAGGAGCUUCUGGGCCCCUUGGGAAGGCAUGGCCCUGCUCAAAGAGGAAGCCAGACCUGCAGGGGUGGGGGUGCCAGUGCAGUGGGCAGGUGGGCAGGGGGCACCUGCUCCUGCGGGUGGAGAGCAUCUCAGCCCCUGCUGUCCGUCGGCUCCUUCUCCAGCUAGCCAGCCAGCCCAGGGAGCCAGGCCAGCUAGGAGGGAGGGCUGGGGAGGUCUGGGGCUUGGCAGUGAGGGCCCAUGGCUCCGGAGCUGGGCAGGCCUCGAUUCCAGUCCCCAUCCCCCUUUAGGACCCUUCUCCAUGGCUGGUGGGAAUGUCAAGUGGUUCAGCGACUUGGGAAAACAUUUGGCAGCUUUUUAAAAAUUGAAACGUACACUUACCACAGGACAGGCGAUUCCCCUCUAAGGCAUUUAUCCCAGAGCAAUGAAAACUUAGGUCCAUGCAAAGACUUAACGCACGAAUCUUCAUGGAAGCUUCAUGGAAAACUGGAGUUCCAGCAAAACUGGAAAACAACCCAUCGAUAGGCAACUGGCUCAACAGUUUGUGGUACGUCCUGACAUGGAACACGGCUCAGCAGUAAGAAGAAAUGAACUCUUGAGACACGCAACACCAUGGAGGAAUCUCAAGGUCGCGAAUGCAGAGUGAGAGCAGCCAGGCAACAAAGAAUGCAUACUGUGUGAUUCCAUUUAUAGAACAUUCUAGAAAAUGCAGACUAACCUGUAGUGACAAAAAGCAUCUCAGUGGCUGCUGUGGGACAUUGGGGACCAGGAAGUCCCACAAAGGGGCACAAGAGAACUUUUGGAGGACGGUGGAUAUGUUCACCGCCCUGAUAGCAAUGAUGGUUUUCUGGGCAUAUAUAGAUGCCCAAGCCCCUCAAAUUCUGCAGUUAUUGUUAUGUCCAUUAGACCUCCAUAAAUUGAAAAGCCAAAUUCCUGUUGUGUCACUCACCUGCUGUGUGAACUUGGGUGGGUCCCCUCACUCCUCCAAGCCUCACAGAGAGCAGGGGAAUUAUACUGGCAGCCUCACAGGGAUGGUUCUGAGGAUUCAGGAAUAAAAUGUUAACCACUUAGCUCCAUCCAGGGCAAACCAGUGGUGCCCCCACCAGGUCCAAGAGGGGCACGAUGGCCCAGGUGUGCAGCAAGGCCAUGCCAGAGCCUGACGUAGACUCCCUGUCCAGUACUCUUCCCAUGGGGCCAGGCCAGGCUGCAGACCAGUCCCUGGCUCCUUUGCUGCCACCAAGGCUCCCAGGGGAGCUUCCCAGCUUUGUGCUAGGGAAGGGGAGGUAAAGUGCUAUGUUGAGUCCCCCAAGCCUCUGCAGGGAAGGAGGCUCUAGCCUCCAGUGGCUCAGGAUUCCAUGGUCCCUUUGAAGCUGCCUCCCCUAGUGGGAUGGAAGUGUGCCUCCCCGCCUGCAUCCCCUACCCCUGCUCCUGCCCAGGAUGGGAGAGAGCCUGAAGCCACAGCCCUGUCACCACAGAGUCUCCCGACUCCCUCAGAACAGGGCUGAAUAGGCCACACCCAGCAGGCCAGUCACCAUGGCUGUGGUUACAGAGAGGAGCUUAACUGAGAAAAAUCUCACUGGAUACCACUUGCCUUGGCUUCAGAGGCCCAUACAGAUCGCCACGUGUUCUGUGACCAUGGCUACAUCACUGCCCCUCUUUGACCCUCCUCUUCUGGAAACUUCACCUGCCACUGCACUAACCAGCAGCACACUGAUUUCACAAACGCCCUCUGCAUGGUCGUUGCUUUGGGAUGUCCAUUUCUCGGAGGAAGAACCAAGGCCUGCUGAGUCUGGGAGAAGUGUCCACCCUCAGCCAGGUGGUGACAGGUGACCAGCUGGUGGACCAGCAUGAGGAGCUAACAGACUGGGACCUGGUGUAAAUAGCUCAGCCCGGCAUGCCUGACACAUGGGUCCCCCCAAUUCUAAAAGCCUUGGGCCCCACAAACCAGGAUCUGCCGAGGCCCACUUCAUAUGGUUGUUGGAAGACUUAAUGACAAGACAGUGAGCCCCUGGCAAGCCUGGGUCUGGAAACAGAAGCCUCCUCAACUUCCGGAGCCUUGGAAAGAGAACAGACUAGUUCGUUGGACAGGAGCAAAGUUUGUCCCCUGGAAGGCCAGGACUUUCCUGAGAGCUGAGCCCCACUUGGACUCUGACAUCCCCUGGCCCCUAUGACCUCACGACUCCAAACCUCUCCCACCCAGGCUGGAAGCAGAGAGGAGCAGUUCGCAGAUGCUCAGCAAGUCUUCGCAGACUCCGAGCCAGUUGUGCAGCUGGAUGAACCCACGCCCAGAGAUGGAAAGGGGCUCUGCCCAAGUCACACAGCAGCAGCCACCAUCAUCUCGAAUACUAACCCUGUGGAAUCCAUGAAGAUGAAGAAAACCGAGGAAGGCCACGUGGCUGUGCAAACCCUAUGGGCUGCUCGGGCGUGAUUAAGAUUCUGGUCACUCUUGAAGGUGGACAUCUCCUCUUCCAGCUCUCUUUACCCUGUCUCCUGGAGGGUGUCCCAGUUACCACCACCCCACAACAUAGACACACAUCAGCACACAUUCCCCUCACCCCACCCCUGGUCACAGACUACACCACACAAAGGCACAGACCCAAAGGCACACACACUCCAGAUGCCACAGACUGCACACACACAUCCCCCACGCACACCACACAGAUGACUCACAGGUACACCUUACACACCCUGACCACACAGCAUACACACACGUUCACACCCAGACCAUCAACAUGCAUCGAGGCUGUAUUGGGGCCUUGCCUCUGGGCUCUUAAAACUUCUAAUGUUGACCCCCUACCUCCAUCAUGGUAUUUAUGCCCUCACUGAAGGAAGGCCGGGACCCACUUUUUCCUUCCCCCUUCGAGCACAGAAUCUUGCAUCAAGUCUCGUGCAGCCAGUGGUUGGACCCCUGGACAACUCCCUUGGUGACAUUGGUCACCUCCAAUCAAGACCUCCUCAAGUGGGUACACACCUCAUCUCUACCAGGGGCUCUCCUCACUCCCUGUAGAGCUGCUCCUGGCCUGGCCUUCUUACCCACAGCUCAUACUCACCUGGGCUUUGCUCAGCUCCCCUCCCACCCAGGCAACAGCAACUCAAGAGGAAGGGCCAUGUUCGAUCGGUCCUUGUCCUGCAACUGCACCCCCACCAGCCCCAGCCCAGCGCCUCAGGAAUAUUUGGUGAUGUGAACUGGGCCAGAGCCUUAAGGUCUGCGGCCCCAACUUUCCCAUUGGUAAAAUGGGGUAACAUUGAAUGUACUUUACAGAAACUCAGAGAUGUCAUGGUGACUGCCAUUAGCACAGCCAUUCAGGCCCCUGCUGGGCUGAAUUUAUGGCUGAACUGAGCUUUGGUGGAUGCCACCCAUCCCCUAGGUGAAGCCCUUGCCCAGGUGAGCGCCCUGGUCAGUCAUGCCUUUCCUGCAGACUGAGUCUCUGAGGCACUUGGUGCUGAGCCCUCGGAGGUGGGCGGUUUGGCUGG